rnacentral:rRNA from 1 species
CCUACGGGAGGCAGCAGUAGGGAAUCUUUCACAAUGGGCGAAAGCCUGAUGGAGCAACGCCGCGUGCAGGAUGAAGGCCUUCGGGUUGUAAACUGCUUUUAUAAGCGAGAAAUAUGAUGGUAACUUAUGAAUAAGGAUCGGCUAACUACGUGCCAGCUGCCGCGGUCAUACGUAGGAUCCGAGCAUUAUCCGGAGUGACUGGGUGUAAAGAGUUGCGUAGGUGGGAUAAUAAGUAGCUAGUGAAAUCUGGUGGCUCAACCAUUCAGACUAUUAGCUAAACUGUUAAGCUCGAGACCGUUAGGGGUAAGUGGAAUUUCUAGUGUAGGAGUGAAAUCCGUAGAUAUUAGAAGGAACACCAAUGGCGUAGGCAGGUUGCUGGGACGGUUCUGACACUAAGGCACGAAAGCGUAGGGAGCAAACGGGAUUAGAUACCCCAGUAGUC